AUGAGGAUGUCUGCCCACGAGUAUCCCAUGCAAAGUCAGCGAACACGCAGUUGGGAUGGCUUUAAUUAUUACCUUUUGGAUGAUCGUACUCAUGGGACCAGUCCGCAAACAGUUGCCUGGGAUUUCGCUGACUUGCCCCCUCCCUUCCUCUGGACGUGCUGUGCAAAUUGCCCAUUUGUAGGCAAACCUGCCCUGCUCCAAAGUUGUGAGACAGCCACACCUGCCCUGGGCAGAUGGGAGCCCUCGCUGUAACUCCGCCUCCUCAGUGUGGGCAUUGCCAGCUCGCACUGGCGGGCUGGCCUGCUGGGAGCCCCACACCCCCCGGGACGUCAUGCCACGCGGGGGUACGCGCACCCUGUGUCUUUUCUAAUACCUGAAAAAGAAAUUUCGGUGUGAUACACAUCUGAUUCCGAGGUUUGAGGUAAGGCAGUAUAUAGAUCCGUAUGGGGAAGUAAAAUUGAAUUUGGACUUUUCUAGACUCUAUUUGUGUUAGAUUCACUGGUUUCAGUAUAAAGGCCAAGUUAUAAAAAAAAAUUAAAUGAGCAAAAUUGUUUCUUGGGCUAUGAAUAUAAAAUGCUGACUUUGCUUUUUCCCCACUUCAGAAGGGGUUAAAUAAUUUCAGGAAUUUAGAAAUUCUAACAUAAUGAAGCAUUUGCUAAAGGAUGCAUCCCCCAGGAUUUAGGACUUUGUCUUUAACCAACGGUCUUUCCUCCUUUCCAAUUAGGCAGUAGUAGGCACCAGAGUGACCUGGAUUUCAUUGGAGUCCCCAGGUGAAGUCAGUCAUCAUACCAGAAACCACUGAAUGUUCAGAUUGGGAAAAGAAAGAGGAAAACAAAAUUACCCAAAUGGCUAAUGCUGAAUUUGGUUGUUUCCUCAGGGUGACAGAUGUGGGACUAGCCCGGGGUAAAGUCGUGAAGGGAACUAUUUCCCUCUGACCCCCUCCCAGGGCUUCUGUCAGCCAACCCCAGGGCCACGUCUUACCGCCCAAGGAAUGUAAUAUUUCUCUGUAAGUGACUGAUUCUUCCUAAGGUAUAUCUCAUGACAAUGUCGUGAGCGUCACAUGAGACUCCAGCUAGGGACAUUUCCAGGGUGAAAGGUGGCUCUUGGAGAUGUAAAGACAGAGUCCUCACAGAUGGUGGGAUGGCCGGAAUUUGGCUAAGUAACGCCAGGAGAAACCCGUGCCCCAUGCCCCGCGAGGGAGUCUUUCGGGAGCACCCUCUCCACUUGUUCAUGUGACUACAGCUCUGUCUUCUCGGGAUACACUCGGCUGCUCGUUCUGCGUUGCUUUUCCUCCUCUACACGCCUUUAAAAAAUGCAUAUGGCGCCUAUGUAGCUUUGCCUUAAUGGAAUACUAAGAGGUGAAGCGCGUGACAAGGCGACAGCAGUGGUAGACGGGGCUCAAGUACAGCGCUCAGGAGGUGGGACGUGCGCGCCUUCCCAAGGUGGGAGCAGGCCCAGAGUCCGCCUUCCCAACGGGGCGGCUCCUGAGAUCCACGGUUAGAGGAAGAGGAGGCGGGUAAGAGUAGCCCAGGUGAAUAUUUGAUUUCUAUCACUUCUGAUCUUCCUUUUCAUCCAUCUUCCACGUGCCAACAGUUUGCCAUCUGUAGAGUAAUAGCUGCCGUCCAGGAUGACACCAGGGUUCGCUGACGAACUCGGGUACCUCUGCAGAUUCUGGUGAUGACAAUGACUCCAGACGGACAAAGGGCAAAACGCACGUACAUGCAACAUAGAGCGUUGGAGGAAUCAGUGUGGAAAUAAUAUCUUUAAACUCGUUUGAGUGUAUCCGAGGAGUUCUUUUCUCUCAGUAUAAUUAUUUAGAAGUACGAUAUCCAAUAAUUGGGGAACAACAACAAAAAAUCCUUCAUGUCAGUGUGCUUCAGUGAUAACUUUAAACAGCCAUGAAAGCGUCUGAUCCUUCUAAAUUGUUUUCGUCCACAUAGUGGAUUCUCAUCAUAUGCGUGUUUAACUCUCAGGCAUUCCUGUAAUAACCGUUAUUUAAUAAGAGAGAGAGACAAAAUAAUUUAAAUAAUGUAAGCAACAAAGUAAUCAUUUGUGUCAGUGAGUGCAAGGCCCAAAUAAAACAUUAGGAGGGCAGUCA
rnacentral:lncRNA from 12 species